rnacentral:lncRNA from 10 species
UAUGUUGUUUUAAAUAAAUAUGCUUUUAUUCAUUCCAGUUCGUUCCAUCUUUGAGAAUUUUUAACCAUGAUUUUUGAUUAUUUGGAACUUCUUCUCUUUUCACUGUACAUCCUCAUUAAUUGCAGAUGUCUGUAUCAGAAAUGCCAACUAAAUCUUUAGCAUCAGACAUGUUGAGAAAAAUUUACAAAAUUAUUUUCAUGAGAAUUUUGUGAUUUUUCAAGUAUCAACGCACCCAUAUACAGAAUGGCCUUCACAAAAACAAAAAAAAAAAACAAAGAAAAACAAAGUCAAAACAAUGAAUAAAAUUUUCAUUUCCUUUGAAAGUGCUAAUCACCUUCAAACCACAGGAUUAAGAUUGAUACUUGAGCUAUCUUGGAUUUCUAGGAUGGAAAUAUUGGGGUUUUAAAAUCAGACAUCUCUUCAGGUGUAGGUAUAUGUGUAUGGAUAAUAUUGCUUUUAACUUCCACUAACCUAUUUCAGACAGUUCACAAAACAGUUUUUUAAAUAUAUUCAUAUAUUUUUGGUUACAAAUUAUAUCAAUUUCUUCUUUAAUGACUGCCACCAGCAAAAGGCUCAGAGUGGGCUACUAUAUUCAUACAUUUCAGGGCAAUUUCUUCUAGGGUGUUCAAGUAAAUGUGUUACCUAGACUUACAUAUUACUUCUCAUUGGCCAAUAUAUUAUAUGUUAUGGAUCUAUAUUUCCUUUUACUAUAGAAUAAGCUGGCCAAUGUUGUUUCUAGAUGUCUGAAUAUUAUUUAUUCAACUUUUUCUAGUCUAUAAAAACACAUACAUACAUUUCAAAUAUGCCUAAUAUAGUCUAAGAUAAUCUGGAUAAGUGUUAAAAAUCAUAUGUAGGAAAGUGUUUCAUUUUUGAGAAAUUAAUCUCAUUUAAAAUGUGCUUAACUGCACUAGAACUCAAGUUUCUAAACCAAUCAGAACAUUGAAUUUAAAAAUGAAUGACUUGACUAUCGUAGUCUGCCUUGAACAUCUAUUAUCUGCAUUCAUGAAAUCUACAUUUAGCAUAAGCUAUAGUAAUGGUAGCUACCAUAGAUUCAGUUUCUUUUGCAUUGAAAUAAAAAGCUUAGUGUGAACUUUUUCCCCAUAAAUACCUUUGGCUUGCCUUGGCAUUUAUGCAGCAGCAGGAGACCAUUAUCCAGUGACACAUUCUAUCCCACUGACAUUAUCACUCAAAGAUGGUCGAUUUCAUUUUCAGGAAGGUCCCAGAGAGCCACAGACAAGUUACAAUCAAUCACACAACCACAAUUGCUAGCUGAGUCACAUUACUCUCAAAAAUAAAAAACAAGGAUAACUCAAAUAUACUAAUGCAUAUUUAAAUUUCACAUUUAACACCUAAAGAACUGAUGAAUUAUUGCCUGUCUUCACAUUAACAAUAUCUUUAUGUUUAAUCCACGCUUACUUUUCCCCGUGACAUAAAUAAAUGCCAGAAUGAGUUUAAAUACUUUGCUAUGUGGAUAUAGAAUACAGUCUGGCCAGGGGCUCUGGGAAAGGUGCAGCGAUUCUAUAUAUCAGGUAAUCUAUGAGUGAAAAUGAACAGGAAGCUUUAAAAUUAGUCAAGCAAAGCUAGAUAUGGAUCAGGCUCGGCCGAGGGGAUAAAGGUAAACAGAACAUAGGUUGGGCAAGUGGUAAGUAUAAUGGUAAAUGAAAUCACUGCUAGGAUGAAAUUAGGCUGAGCACAACACAAGGUGAAGGACAGAGUCAGGAAUUCAGGCCCCGGGGUCUGAAAGAGCUUCAGACAGAGGCAGUCUGGUUCUAUAAAGAGUUUUUCAGGAAGGAAUUUUCCUGGGUUUUGAGCGAAUUCUACAAAAUGGGCUUUGGACUGUCAACUGAAGAAUUAGGAGGUUCAUAAAUUUAAAAAGGAGAGCUUUAUUUCUCAUAAAGGAUUGCAGCCUGCAGGGUGGCCAUUCUGACAGGCUGGGAAGCAUAGCUUCCCCCCAGAAGCUUGAAACAGAUACUUGGAGGGAAGGGCAAAGGGAACAGGAAUUUUUGCUGAGCAAGGUAGCCCAAUAUACAUAUUUAGUAAGCUAUAGGAGAAGUCAUGAAGAUUUAUGAAAGGAGAAACAUUCACAUGUGCAGUUCAGCUUCAUGCCCCUUCAUGGGCCCCUUGAGCAAAAAUGGUAGCAUUUGCAUUAUCAGAGGAUGGAGUUCCCAGCCCUCUAACAUCUGAAGGUGAAGCGGAGGACAUGAAAACCUUCACUGUGCAUCCUCCAUAGACUGUCCAGAAUCACUCCGUGGUUGGUGGUCUCUCAUCAGGAAGGAAGGCUCUUUGG